GGACGAAGAUAGGGAGGAGAGAUCAUCUCCGGCGAGGGCUCCACCAGGCUGUACGGUGUCCAUUGUGGGGCCCAGAAGUGAGUAGUUAUUGUGAUGAACGUCUUUAUAGGGGAGGGUUUGUCUCUGUGUGCCAGUGGUUUUGUGUUGGGUGAAUUUGGGGUUGUGCGUGCUUUUGUUGGGUCUACGGCUCUCUUCUUCCGGUGAAUUUGUUAUCU
rnacentral:misc_RNA from 1 species